rnacentral:lncRNA from 10 species
UUGGUGAGGAAGAAAAAGGCUCAAUUAAAAAGCUCCAAAUAUGACCCUGCUCUACUACUGUGAACUGAGUACUAUGUGCUUGGAUGUGUUAAGGACGGAGGCCAUUGCCAUGUGAAGAAGGCCUACCUUCCGUCUUCCCACCCUGACCCACUGAGAAACCUCAAGCUUUGGACUUGUCCAUGCUGCCCUCUAACCCUAGAUCACAGUUCUGAGUGUGAAUACUGCCAGCCCAGAAGAGAACAUUCAUG